GGCGAACGGGUGAGUAACACGUGAGUAACCUGCCCCUGACUCUGGGAUAAGCGUUGGAAACGACGUCUAAUACUGGAUAUGAUCACUGGCCGCAUGGUCUGGUGGUGGAAAGAUUUUUUGGUUGGGGAUGGACUCGCGGCCUAUCAGCUUGUUGGUGAGGUAAUGGCUCACCAAGGCGACGACGGGUAGCCGGCCUGAGAGGGUGACCGGCCACACUGGGACUGAGACACGGCCCAGACUCCUACGGGAGGCAGCAGUGGGGAAUAUUGCACAAUGGGCGAAAGCCUGAUGCAGCAACGCCGCGUGAGGGAUGACGGCCUUCGGGUUGUAAACCUCUUUUAGUAGGGAAGAAGCGAAAGUGACGGUACCUGCAGAAAAAGCACCGGCUAACUACGUGCCAGCAGCCGCGGUAAUACGUAGGGUGCAAGCGUUGUCCGGAAUUAUUGGGCGUAAAGAGCUCGUAGGCGGUUUGUCGCGUCUGCUGUGAAAUCCCGAGGCUCAACCUCGGGCUUGCAGUGGGUACGGGCAGACUAGAGUGCGGUAGGGGAGAUUGGAAUUCCUGGUGUAGCGGUGGAAUGCGCAGAUAUCAGGAGGAACACCGAUGGCGAAGGCAGAUCUCUGGGCCGUAACUGACGCUGAGGAGCGAAAGCGUGGGGAGCGAACAGGAUUAGAUACCCUGGUAGUCCACGCCGUAAACGUUGGGCGCUAGAUGUAGGGACCUUUCCACGGUUUCUGUGUCGUAGCUAACGCAUUAAGCGCCCCGCCUGGGGAGUACGGCCGCAAGGCUAAAACUCAAAGGAAUUGACGGGGGCCCGCACAAGCGGCGGAGCAUGCGGAUUAAUUCGAUGCAACGCGAAGAACCUUACCAAGGCUUGACAUACACCGGAAACGGCCAGAGAUGGUCGCCCCCUUGUGGUCGGUGUACAGGUGGUGCAUGGUUGUCGUCAGCUCGUGUCGUGAGAUGUUGGGUUAAGUCCCGCAACGAGCGCAACCCUCGUUCUAUGUUGCCAGCGCGUUAUGGCGGGGACUCAUAGGAGACUGCCGGGGUCAACUCGGAGGAAGGUGGGGAUGACGUCAAAUCAUCAUGCCCCUUAUGUCUUGGGCUUCACGCAUGCUACAAUGGCCGGUACAAAGGGCUGCGAUACCGUAAGGUGGAGCGAAUCCCAAAAAGCCGGUCUCAGUUCGGAUUGAGGUCUGCAACUCGACCUCAUGAAGUCGGAGUCGCUAGUAAUCGCAGAUCAGCAACGCUGCGGUGAAUACGUUCCCGGGCCUUGUACACACCGCCCGUCAAGUCAUGAAAGUCGGUAA
rnacentral:rRNA from 1 species